GACGAACGCUGGCGGCGUGCUUAACACAUGCAAGUCGAACGGAAAGGCCCUGCUUUUGUGGGGUGCUCGAGUGGCGAACGGGUGAGUAACACGUGAGUAACCUGCCCUUGACUUUGGGAUAACUUCAGGAAACUGGGGCUAAUACCGGAUAGGUGCUCCUGCUGCAUGGUGGGGGUUGGAAAGUUUCGGCGGUUGGGGAUGGACUCGCGGCUUAUCAGCUUGUUGGUGGGGUAGUGGCUUACCAAGGCUUUGACGGGUAGCCGGCCUGAGAGGGUGACCGGCCAAAGUGGGACUGAGAUACGGCCCAGACUCCUACGGGAGGCAGCAGUGGGGAAUAGUGCACAAUGGGCGGAAGCCUGAAGCAGCAACGCCGCGUGCGGGAUGACGGCCUUCGGGUUGUAAACCGCUUUCGCCUGUGACGAAGCGUGAGUGACGGUAAUGGGUAAAGAAGCACCGGCUAACUACGUG
rnacentral:rRNA from 1 species